rnacentral:lncRNA from 1 species
ACCCCAGAGGCUGGAGGUGGGGCGAGUCCUGCAGUGACUACCUUCAGCAUCCAGAGUCACUGGGGUCACAGAUGGAAGUGACAGAGUUGUCUGACACUGGAAACUUAAGGUUUUCCUUCAUCUGUGAAAUCGUGGUCUGUCUGCUCCCUGUGCAGAAAGAAAGGAAGACUUUUAACCCCGGGGACACCCAGAUAUGGAACCUAUCUGACACUCUGAAGGGAAAAAAAAAUCCCAUCUGUUUCCUGCUGGAACAUCUUCUGUGGGUCCUGGAAGGCAUGCAACCCUUCCAGAGAAAGAAGCAGCAGCAUGGCUUUCCGUGGCUGAGACUGUCUGCUCACCGAGCAGCUUUGCAGUAGCUGGACACUUGGAACUCACCUGGGAGGAAGAAAGAAGAGUGUCGGAUCUGGGUCAGCUAGGUGGUCCCAGACACCACCUUACCCUAGAUCUCUUCAGCCAAGCCUAUAGGUGGCUAUCUGUGUCCGAAGCCCAUAGUGUACCUCCCUGUGUCCGUUACGCCCUCACCUAUCCCCAGUGAAGGAGGAACGGGUCUUAGAAGGAAGAAAUGGUAGAAAAGCAAAGACAAAGAAAAUGGAUAAAGGAAGACCAGACACGAUAAAAAUGGAUUUUUAAAAAAGCAUCAUGUUAGGUGAAAGAAGCCAGGCACAAACUGGAGGGACAAUAACUCCACAGAGACAGGGAGCCUCCCUUGAGUUAGAGGCUGAAGGAAUGAGUGGUAGGAACUGGGAGGUGAGAACAAAAGGAACUUCUCUUAGUGAAAUA